CAAGUCGAACGAAACAGGAAUUACCCUGCCUAAUUUGCUGACGAGAGGCGCCCGGAUUGCGUAACGACGUAUACAAUCUACCCUUUUGCUGAGGGAUAGCCCAAAGAAAUUUGGAUUAAUACCUCAUGGUAUUAUUGAUAGGCAUCUGUUAAUAAUUAACGGUUACGGCAAAAGAUGAGUAUGCGUCCCAUUAGCUAGUUGGAGAGGUAACGGCUCACCAAGGCAACGAUGGGUAGGGGUCCUGAAAGGGAAAUCCCCCCCACUGGUACUGACACACGCACCAAAAUCCUACGGGAGGGAGCACAGAAGAAUAUUGGAAAAACGGUGAGAAAACCUGUUCCACCCUUGCC
rnacentral:rRNA from 1 species